AUAAAACUCGCUUUCAAGUACUCUAUGCUAAUGGGGGAAAAAAUUCAAACUUUCCAAAACCCAACCAGGCAACAGCCUCAAAGCCAAGUAUACAAAAAAAUGAAAAAAAAAAGUACCAGAGAGAGCAGCCAGCCAAAAGAGGGCUUCAAAGGGUUUAAUAUCCUCUUUUGAAUCCUUUAUGUGCUUUUAUAUUUAUUUUAUUUUUUUUGUUAAAAGGGGUAGUUGGUGGGAUGUUCUUCACUUCUUCUCUUCUAGCUUCUCUGUUUUCCUGGGUGAAGGAGGGACGCUGCUUUCAGUUUGUAGGGGCAUAGGCGCGAUCAGAAUUGAACCAGGACCGUUCUGUUUAAUUUUCUUACAAAAAUUUCACUUAUAGUUUAAAAUUAUUAGUAAAAUUAAAAACAUGAGUGAAAAGGAAAAUAUUUUGAGUUUAAAACCUAUAUAUAUAUAUAUUCAAUUAAGUAUUUUUGAGUUUAUUAAAUUUUUUCUCUUGUAGUUUAUUUUUAAAAACACGAGUGAAAUAGGAAAAUAUUUUGAGUUUAUUUUUAGAAUAUAAAUAUUUUCAAUUAAGAAUUCUUUUUUUUUUUAAACUCGGGUGAAGGGGGAAAAUAAAUUGCAAGGUUUUAUAAAGCAUUGUAUCUCUUUCAACAAGUUAUUAUAUUCUUUCUUCAAAAAAAAAAAAAAAAAAAAAAAACAAGUUAUUAUAUUCCAGCCCCAAUCUCCUUUUCAGAUCAAAUCUCUCUCUACGCCCAUGCGGUGCUUCAUCGGCUUUCAAUGGUGUUCAUCGCCUUUCUUCGGCAAGGCCUCUCUCUCUCGCUCUUAGGUAAUGAUUAUGCUUGAGUUAUUUCACAUUCUCUGAUUUGGGUAUGUAAUCGUACUGUAAAGCGGUUCAUUUUGAUUUGUAUGUAUAAUCGUUCACAUAUGGUGGUAUAAUCUGAUUUUGGUCUGCUGAGUUGUCUCCUUUGAUUUGUAUGUAUAAUCUUGUAUUAUGGGUAUAUAGUGACUCAAUUUGAGUUCAGAGUAAGUGAAAGGGAAAACAUUGGAUAUUUUAGCUGUAUGUAUAUAUCAUUUUCUUUUUUUUUUUCU